UUCACAAGAAUUGCCUGUAAAGGAUACCUCAGCAUCAUUGGGAGAAAAAACAACGGAGACAAAAGAUAAGGCCAAAUCAAUUGCUUAUAAGCUACUUUCUGACAUUGAAGUGGCAACAAAUUUGAAAGGGGUGUUGGAAGAACGUAUAUUAAACGCUAAAGUAGAAUUCACAUUGAAAGAAGUCUUGGAAAUUGCAAAGAAGGAGUUUCAUGAUGUUAUCAUUGACAGCAUUAAGCGAAAGAGGUAAUUAAUGAGCGAAACUGGAAUGAGUCAUGCUAUUGAUGCAAGAAUAUGUAGAGAUGAAGAAGAGGUUGAUAUUGGUUACAAGCAACCAACAAAUGAAAAGAAUGGGUAUAAUCAGCGAGUACGUUUCGAAGAUUCUAGUGACAAGGAAAUGGAAACUUUGAGCCAUUAUACUCGAAAGCAUUGAGCAAGGGCAACUACUGAGGUAUUGGUGAAGGUAGGAGAUAUAGAAGAACCAAUAGUUACUUUGGUGGACCAUGGUUCUGAAAUAAAUCUCAUGUCUAAAGAUCUUUAUAAGAAGCAAAAAUGGCCAAUUGAUAUGGAACAUGGAUGGGCAAUACGAGCAGCUAAUAACACACGAGGCGAAUUAUAUGGAGCUUGUCCAGAUGUCAAAAUUCGGAUUGGGGAUGUUGCGACGGAGCAACAUUUCUUCGUUCAAGAUACAACGUCUUAU
rnacentral:lncRNA from 1 species